rnacentral:rRNA from 1 species
CAGCAGCCGCGGUAAUACGUAGGGUGCGAGCGUUGUCCGGAAUUACUGGGCGUAAAGAGCUCGUAGGUGGUUUGUCGCGUCGUCUGUGAAAUUCCGGGGCUUAACUUCGGGCGUGCAGGCGAUACGGGCAUAACUUGAGUGCUGUAGGGGAGACUGGAAUUCCUGGUGUAGCGGUGGAAUGCGCAGAUAUCAGGAGGAACACCGAUGGCGAAGGCAGGUCUCUGGGCAGUAACUGACGCUGAGGAGCGAAAGCAUGGGGAGCGAACAGGAUUAGAUACCCUGGUAGUCCAUGCCGUAAACGGUGGCGCUAGGUGUAGGGGUCUUCCACGACUUCUGUGCCGUAGCUAACGCAUUAAGCGCCCCGCCUGGGGAGUACGGCCGCAAGGCUAAAACUCAAAGGAAUUGACGGGGGCCCGCACAAGCGGCGGAGCAUGUGGAUUAAUUCGAUGCAACGCGAAGAACCUUACCUGGGCUUGACAUAUACAGGACUGGGCCAGAGAUGGUCUUUCCCUUUGUGGCUUGUAUACAGGUGGUGCAUGGUUGUCGUCAGCUCGUGUCGUGAGAUGUUGGGUUAAGUCCCGCAACGAGCGCAACCCUUGUCUUAUGUUGCCAGCGGUUUUGGCCGGGGACUCAUGAGAGACUGCCGGGGUUAACUCGGAGGAAGGUGGGGGAUGACGUCAAAUCAUCAUGCCCCUUAUGUCCAGGGCUUCACACAUGCUACAAUGGUCGGUACAACGCGCUGCGAGCCUGUGAGGGUGAGCGAAUCGCUGAAAGCCGGCCUCAGUUCGGAUUGGGGUCUGCAACUCGACCCCAUGAAGUCGGAGUCGCUAGUAAUCGCAGAUCAGCAACGCUGCGGUGAAUACGUUCCCGGGCCUUGUACACACCGCCCGUCACGUCAUGAAAGUUGGUAACACCCGAAGCCCAUGGCCUAACCCCCUUUUGUGGGGAGGGAGUGGUCGAAGGUGGGAUCGGCGAUUGGGACGAAGUCGUAACAAGGUAGCCGU